rnacentral:rRNA from 1 species
UACGUAGGGGGCAAGCGUUGUCCGGAUUUAUUGGGCGUAAAGAGCGUGUAGGCGGCUUUGCAAGUCCGUUGUGAAAACUCGAGGCUCAACCUCGAGACGCCGGUGGAAACUGCAAAGCUAGAGUCCGGAAGAGGAGAGUGGAAUUCCUGGAGUGUGAGCGGUGAAUGCGCAGAUAUCAGGAAGAACACCCGUGGCUAAGGCGGCUCUCUAGUACGGUACUGACGCUGAGACGCGAAAGCGUGGGGAGCGAACAGG